AUGUUGGCUGUAACAGUUGAAUGUGCAGAUACAGUAAACCAACUACAGCCUCCAGUCAAAUAUAGUGGAUUUAAAAGUACAACAAUUCCCUCUGAAGUACGGUGGAGGAAAAACAGAAAGGAACCUGAACACUGUACUUACCGUGUCUUCAUUCAGCUGGAGACGACACACACACACAUGCGGGCCGGUGGUGGCGGGUCCUUGACGAGAGGAAACCAUGAACUCUGGGAGGAGCAGGUUCCCACACCCAGAAGAAGGGACGCACAACGCUCUAACACAAACAGUCCGCCACUCAGGAAGGAAAGGGCUCUCUUUGGGCCUUUAUCAGAUCUGCGAGAUCCUCGGCCCCGUCCGUCACCCGCUGCUGUCCGAGAGGUCCCAGCGAGGCUGCCGGACUCCCUGGCACCAGCGUCUGGCGCUGGGGAAGAUCUAUCUAGAGAUAUGAGCAGGAGAAACUCCACCCAAGAGGCCUGGUAUACACACAGACAAACCUAUUACAUCCUCUGAGCUAAUCAUUCCCCGAGACCACGACAACACAAACAUCCCCAGGACAGAAACACCAGUCUUCCUCUGACUCGCUGCUGUUUUUAGAGCUCUAAAUCUCUG
rnacentral:lncRNA from 1 species